AUUGAACGCUGGCGCCGGCCUAACCCAUGCCAGUCGAACGGUAACAGCAAGCAGCUUGCUGCUUUGCUGACGAGUGGCGGACGGGUGAGUAAUGUCUGGGAAACUGCCUGAUGGAGGGGGAUAACUACUGGAAACGGUAGCUAAUACCGCAUAACGUCGCAAGACCAAAGAGGGGGACCUUCGGGCCUCUUGCCAUCGGAUGUGCCCAGAUGGGAUUAGCUAGUAGGUGGGGUAACGGCUCCCCUAGGCGACGAUCCCUAGCUGGUCUGAGAGGAUGACCAGCCACACUGGAACUGAGACACGGUCCAGACUCCUACGGGAGGCAGCAGUGGGGAAUAUUGCACAAUGGGCGCAAGCCUGAUGCAGCCAUGCCGCGUGUAUGAAGAAGGCCUUCGGGUUGUAAAGUACUUUCAGCGGGGAGGAAGGGAGUAAAGUUAAUACCUUUGCUCAUUGACGUUACCCGCAGAAGAAGCACCGGCUAACUCCGUG
rnacentral:rRNA from 1 species